rnacentral:rRNA from 1 species
UACGGAGGGUGCGAGCGUUGUCCGGAAUCACUGGGCGUAAAGGGUGCGUAGGCGGGUCUUUAAGUCUGGGGUGAAAUCCUGGAGCUCAACUCCAGAACUGCCUUUGAUACUGAGGAUCUUGAGUUCGGGAGAGGUGAGUGGAACUGCGAGUGUAGAGGUGAAAUUCGUAGAUAUUCGCAAGAACACCAGUGGCGAAGGCGGCUCACUGGCCCGAUACUGACGCUGAGGCACGAAAGCGUGGGGAGCAAACAGG